GAGACUGUGCGUCUUCAUUUAGGAGCAAAGGGCCCACACUGUGCUGUUCCUCUUAAGGCUGCUUUCUGAAGGGCUGUGCGUGGAAGUAUGUGUGAGGAUACACACAACAGCAAGGAUAAAGACGAUCUUCAGGUUGACAGAUUCAUUCUGUGUCAAGAUCCUUUAAAUAUGACAUUUUAAAUGGGUGGUGAUUCGGGAGGAACACAGGGCUUAGUGGCCUUGGAAGAAUGCAAAACCCUCGGUAAACAGAAAUAUGUUAAUGAGGGAAAAUUGCAUGAGAUAUAAACACCCACAGCACGGAUCUCAGAGAUGAAGAUGAACACCGGAGCAGAGGGAACUUUGGAAUGACUGACUGCCUUCUUUCUCAUCCACUAUAAAGUGUCAAAGACAAAGUGGAUAUUUUAGGAUAUUGAUCCUGCAUCUUCCCAGACUGCUGCCUCUGAAUGAAACACAACUUAGAGA
rnacentral:lncRNA from 1 species